CUGGAACCUCUCGGGGUUACAGCCUUGCUGAAUUAUUCACCCUUGUCUUUUGCGUACUUCUUGUUUCCUUGGUGGGUUCGCCCACCACUAGGACAAACAUAAACCUUUUGUAAUUGCAAUCAGCGUCAGUAACAAAUUAAUAAUUACAACUUUCAACAACGGAUCUCUUGGUUCUGGCAUCGAUGAAGAACGCAGCGAAAUGCGAUAAGUAGUGUGAAUUGCAGAAUUCAGUGAAUCAUCGAAUCUUUGAACGCACAUUGCGCCCUUUGGUAUUCCAAAGGGCAUGCCUGUUCGAGCGUCAUUUGUACCCUCAAGCUUUGCUUGGUGUUGGGCGUCUUGUCUCUAGCUUUGCUGGAGACUCGCCUUAAAGUAAUUGGCAGCCGGCCUACUGGUUUCGGAGCGCAGCACAAGUCGCACUCUCUAUCAGCAAAGGUCUAGCAUCCAUUAAGCCUUUUUUUCAACUUUUGACCUCGGAUCAGGUAGGGAUACCCGCUGAACUUAAGCAUAUCAAUAAGCGGAGG
rnacentral:sRNA from 1 species